GUCGGGAAUAUUGCGCAAUGGAGGAAACUCUGACGCAGUGACGCCGCGUAUAGGAAGAAGGUUUUCGGAUUGUAAACUAUUGUCGUUAGGGAAGAAAAAGACAGUACCUAAGGAGGAAGCUCCGGCUAACUAUGUGCCAGCAGCCGCGGUAAUACAUAGGGAGCAAGCGUUAUCCGGAAUUAUUGGGUGUAAAGGGUGCGUAGACGGGAAGACAAGUUAGUUGUGAAAUCCCUCGGCUUAACUGAGGAACUGCAACUAAAACUAUCAUUCUUGAGUGCAGGAGAGGAAAGUGGAAUUCCUAGUGUAGCGGUGAAAUGCGUAGAUAUUAGGAGGAACACCAGUGGCGAAGGCGACUUUCUGGACUGUAACUGACGUUGAGGCUCGAAAGCGUGGGGAGCAAACAGGA
rnacentral:rRNA from 1 species